CCUACGGGGUGCUGCAGUGAGGAAUAUUGGUCAAUGGCCGGAAGGCUGAACCAGCCAUGCCGCGUGAGUGAAGAAGGCCUUCGGGUCGUAAAGCUCUGUUGCGGGGGAAAAAAGGCAGCAUCAGGAAAUGGGUGCUGACUGAUGGUGCCCCGCCAGAAAGUCACGGCUAACUACGUGCCAGCAGCCGCGGUAAUACGUAGGUGGCGAGCGUUAUCCGGAAUGAUUGGGCGUAAAGGGUGCGCAGGCGGUCCUGCAAGUCUGGAGUGAAACGCAUGAGCUCAACUCAUGCAUGGCUUUGGAAACUGGAGGACUGGAGAGCAGGAGAGGGCGGUGGAACUCCAUGUGUAGCGGUAAAAUGCGUAGAUAUAUGGAAGAACACCAGUGGCGAAGGCGGCCGCCUGGCCUGUUGCUGACGCUGAGGCACGAAAGCGUGGGGAGCAAAUAGGAUUAGAUACCCGGGUAGUC
rnacentral:rRNA from 1 species